rnacentral:sRNA from 1 species
GCCACCAUCCCCAGCUCAGCCAUGCAGGCCCCAACAGUUUGUAUCUACUUGAACAAGAAUGGCAGCACAGGCCCCCACUUAGAUAAGAAGAAGGUCCAGCAACUCCCUGACCAUUUUGGACCAGCCCGUGCCUCUGUGGUGUUGCAGCAGGCUGUCCAGGCCUGUAUCGACUGUGCUUAUCACCAGAAAACCGUCUUCAGCUUCCUCAAGCAAGGCCAUGGUGGUGAGGUUAUCUCAGCCGUGUUUGACCGGGAACAGCAUACCCUCAACCUCCCAGCAGUCAACAGCAUCACCUACGUCCUCCGCUUCCUGGAGAAACUCUGCCACAACCUUCGUAGUGACAAUCUGUUUGGCAACCAGCCCUUUACACAGACUCACUUGUCACUCACUGCCACAGAGUACAGCCACAGCCACGACAGGUACCUACCAGGUGGACCUUCUUGGGACCACAGCUUAAACUUCAAGGUGUCAGGAAGACCUCCAAGGCUCUCCUCAUCCAAAAGAGAUGCACCUGAUACUGUCCAUCUUAAUAUCCUGUUUCUUUCCUUUGUUAUAAUUAUAAUAGUUGCUAAUA